UACGUAGGGGGCAAGCGUUGUCCGGAUUUAUUGGGCGUAAAGAGCGUGUAGGCGGUUUGGUAGGUCCGUUGUGAAAACUCGAGGCUCAACCUCGAGACGCCGAUGGAAACCAUCAGACUAGAGUCCGGAAGAGGAGAGUGGAAUUCCUGGUGUAGCGGUGAAAUGCGCAGAUAUCAGGAAGAACACCCGUGGCUAAGGCGGCUCUCUAGUACGGUACUGACGCUGAGGUGCGAAAGCGUGGGAGCAAACAGGAU
rnacentral:rRNA from 1 species